rnacentral:lncRNA from 1 species
GUGUGUUUAAGUGGGUGGGCUCCUUUGCCCCCAGAAAAGAAAGAAGGAUUUGUUAUGAGCCCCCGUAGCAAAGGGUAUGGAGGGGAGAAGUGGGGGCCGAGAGAGAUCAGAGACUUGACUGGAGGGUUGAAUGGAGGCUCUGGGGGAUGAGUGAUGCUGAGCUCUUAGAGAGAGUGACAGUAGAAAAGUCGAGCUGGCAGAGAAGCCAGGGAAGGCUGGGCAGCAAGAACUGAAGAUGGGAUGGCAGAUAGCAUCCUCAAUAAGGAACUAGGGUCUCACUCUCUCUCCCAGGCUGGAGUGCAGUGGUGUGAUCACAGCUCAUUGCAGCCUCAACCACCCGA